GAUGAAUGCUGGCGGCGUGCCUAACACAUGCAAGUCGAGCGGCAGCGCGAGUAGUUUACUACUUGGCGGCGAGCGGCGGACGGCUGAGUAACGCGUGGGAACGUGCCCCAAAGUGAGGAAUAACUGCCCGAAAGGGUAGCUAAUGCCGCAUAUGAUCUUCGGAUUAAAGUCUUCGGACGCUUUGGGAGCGGCCCGCGUCGGAUUAGGUUGUUGGUGAGGUAAUGGCUCACCAAGCCGACGAUCCGUAGCUGGUCUGAGAGGAUGAUCAGCCAUACUGGGACUGAGACACGGCCCAGGCUCCUACGGGAGGCAGCAGUGAGGAGUCUUCCACAAUGGGCGAAAGCCUGAUGGAGCAACGCCGCGUGAAGGAUGAAGGCCCUCGGGUUGUAAACUUCUUUUAUAAGUGAAGAAUAUGACGGUAACUUAUGAAUAAGCACCGGCUAACUACGUGCCAGCCGCCGCAGUAA
rnacentral:rRNA from 1 species